rnacentral:rRNA from 1 species
UACGUAGGGGGCAAGCGUUGUCCGGAUUUAUUGGGCGUAAAGAGCGUGUAGGCGGCCAUACAGGUCAGCUGUGAAAACUCGAGGCUCAACCUCGAGACGUCGGUUGAAACCGUUUGGCUAGAGUCCGGAAGAGGAGAGUGGAAUUCCCGGUGUAGCGGUGAAAUGCGCAGAUAUCGGGAAGAACACCCGUGGCGAAGGCGGCUCACUGGCCCGGUACUGACGCUGAGGUGCGAAAGCGUGGGGAGCAAACAGG